UUUCAGUAUAAGAACUGAGAAACCUGUCAUUUAGACCCAUGUUACCAUGUGAGAAUUCUUGUGUGCAGUUCCUGGGAUAGGUACAUGGCAUUGGCCAGGAAGAGGAGGCCCUCUUGCAGCUCAGGAGGGGAUGAAGGCUAGAUGUAUCCAUAGAUGCAGGCAGGAGCAAGCUGCUGCUGCAGGCCCUGACAUUAUCCAGCUCAUGACUCUGACUCUCUCAAGAUGAAUUACCUACUGAAGAAGUUUCAAGAAGAUAUCCUCCUAGGACAUCUCCUGUGUUCCUGUCAUGCCUGAGUCUGUAUUUCUCCCAUCUUUGUCUUCCCUUAGUGACAGGUGUCCACAGAAGAGAAGUGACAGCCACACUGCGAUGGCUGUGAGAAGAUGGGGCUACAUAGUGGAGUCUUACGUGUAUUGCCGUGGAGUAGGAUGGCUUGCCAGUAUUCGCUGUCAGCUAGGAGUGAGACAGCGAACACAUGAUCCCCUCAGAACUUCUGGAAAGAACCAACAUUGCUGACACCUGGAAUUUUAGGUCCCUAGAUCAAGAAAUG